GGAGAAGGGGAAGUAAAAACUCUUCCUCCAUUUGUUGGGCUUUAAUUGGCUUCAGUUUGAAAUAAUCUGCCUGUUGGGUGGCAUGUUCAAGGGACACUCAUUUCCAACCUCCACAAGUGCAACUAAAAAAAUUGUGGGUAGUCCUACCUGGUUUGUUUUGAUGGGGUCUUCACAGCACAGCCAGCCAGGCUCCCCGAGUGAGCGUUAUCAGCCGAGACCACAUUACACCGCCAAGUGGGUAUUGGUGUCCCCACCGUGCAGCAGAGAAAACUGAGGAUUGCUGAGAUCAGUUGUCCGCCCAGCGUCACAGCAGCGCCAGGGCUUCUCAUCAUCGUUGUGUCACCUGGCUGGGCUGGCUUUAAUUCAGUGACACGGAGACCCACAGCCUGGAUGUGGAGAGCAGCAACUGCCUGAUUAAAUUAAUUUAGGAAGGAAUGACUACAAGCUUGGCAAAUACCCUUUGCAAGAAUCUGGGCAUCAGAGACACUUGACAGCUAAA